UAGCUGCCAGUAGCUCCUCAUAGGACGCUGAUCGGUCCCAACCACUGGUGGUUGAAGCCUUACAAGAUGGAUUUUCAUGUCAUCACAUGAUCCCGCAAUUCCCGCGUGAUCUCGAUAUUGCGAGAAUCCAGCUGCUGUGCAAGACCACGGCCUGUGCUCUCUCCUCGCUGGCUGCAGUUCUGCCCUGAGUAAACAUCAGGGACCGGCACACGGCUCGCCUCCUGUGGAAUAUUGAUUCUUUAGUGUGGCGUGGCAGUGAAGAGCACAUACUGUGACCGCUUCACCUCACUCCACAAAAUAGAGCAAACUCCAUUCGCCGAUAAAGACUGUGAAAUGUAGCUGAAAGCUCUGCGAAAUAGAUGGACUGCCCUCCUCUUGCCCAUCCAAGCUGACCUUUGACCUAUGGCCUUCCAAAGGGGAGAAGAAUUCACAACAAAGUUUUGAGUUCCUAAAGGAUGAGCUCAUAGUACAUAAACCUAGGGCCUUUGCUUUUGAAGAACAUGCUUUUCUCAUCUUUAAAGUACGUUUUCAUAUAUUUUUUUGUCACAUACAAAACAAACAAAGUCCAUUAUAUACAUCCUCCAUUUGUCCCGCAUUGCAACCACAGGUCUCUUUUCCUGCGACAGUUGCAAAAAUCGCAUUUGAUGUUUUUUGGGCCAAGAUGUUGACCACCAGUCCAGUUGAAGCAUCCGUGUUUUAUUUACUCUUGGUUUCUACGUUUACUCGAAUCAUGCAGUUCAAAAGAAGGAAACAAAAUGAUAAUGGACAUAAUCUUUAGAAAUCCUUUGUUGCAGUUGGUCAGUUCAGCGACAAAGUCUCACAAACUGGAAAGAAUUCCUUUUGAAGCGCGGUGGUCCAUCCGGGCACGUCUAUUUGCUGUGUCAGUUUCAAAGAUUAUUCUUAUUGUGUACCAUCACAACACAAUCUGCCAGUCUGCAGCACAUCUGGCAGUUUACAGAUGGAACUGAA